CCUACGGGAGGCAGCAGUGAGGAAUAUUGGUCAAUGGACGAGAGUCUGAACCAGCCAAGUAGCGUGAAGGAUGACUGCCCUAUGGGUUGUAAACUUCUUUUAUAUGGGAAUAAAAUGUUCCACGUGUGGGAUUUUGUAUGUACCAUAUGAAUAAGGAUCGGCUAACUCCGUGCCAGCAGCCGCGGUAAUACGGAGGAUCCGAGCGUUAUCCGGAUUUAUUGGGUUUAAAGGGAGCGUAGGUGGAUUGUUAAGUCAGUUGUGAAAGUUUGCGGCUCAACCGUAAAAUUGCAGUUGAAACUGGCAGUCUUGAGUACAGAAGAGGUGGGCGGAAUUCGUGGUGUAGCGGUGAAAUGCUUAGAUAUCACGAAGAACUCCGAUUGCGAAGGCAGUUCACUGGACUGCAACUGACACUGAGGCUCGAAAGUGUGGGUAUCAAACAGGAUUAGAUACCCCUGUAGUC
rnacentral:rRNA from 1 species